rnacentral:lncRNA from 1 species
AUGCAUGUCAGAAUAGUGAAUGCUAAAGCUAGCUACCUGUUAAUACAAUCAAAGUUUUAUGAGUAUAUCCUUUGUUUGUUGCGGGAUUUGGAGGUGGUGGCGCGGCUCCGCGCGACCAUUCCGCGGGAGCGCGUCGGUCUAUUCUUCUGCGCAACUGCUCCUGGUGCUGGGAAUGGACGCCGUCGCGCGCUAUUGUCACGCGGGAUCGACGCGAUCGCGCGUUUUGGCGUCGCGCCACCGCCCCUCCCAUCGGUCAACUCAUCCCUCGGCACCGCGACGACGCGCUCCGGCUAAUCGUUCUGCCCCAGUAUGGUGUUAUGCUAAGCCCAGCUCUCAUUCUCACGAUGAUGAUGAGCCGUCGGUCAGUCCUGUCCUAUCUACCUAGCUAUUCCUUG